rnacentral:rRNA from 1 species
GACGUAGGGCGCGAGCGUUGUCCGGAUUUAUUGGGCGUAAAGAGCUCGUAGGCGGCUUGUCGCGUCGUCCGUGAAAACUUGGGGCUCAACCCCAAGCCUUGCGGUCGAUACGGGCAGGCUAGAGUUCGGUAGGGGAGACUGGAAUUCCUGGUGUAGCGGUGAAAUGCGCAGAUAUCAGGAGGAACACCGGUGGCGAAGGCGGGUCUCUGGGCCGAUACUGACGCUGAGGAGCGAAAGCGUGGGGAGCGAACAGG